GGUGGAUUGAUUUAAAUCAAAAUAAAUCAGAUUGUAAGUGAUUUAAAUGUGUUAAUUUUUGCAUAAUUUUUUUUUAAAGAAUGGUAACCAUUAAAAUGUAUUGGAUUUACAACUAAAUCUAGUCUUUACACUAAAUGUGCUACUUCCUUUUGCUAACCUGGAGAAUACAGUGUACUUAUUCAUGUAUUAAGCAGAUACAUAGCUUAAAAUUUAUUCAGAUUCUUAAUUUACAUUUUUAUUUUAGAAAAAGAUUGAUUCAUUUUUACUAUAAGAUUUGAGAAACUUUAUUUGGAUGAAAACUCAUUCAAUUAAAUGCAUAAAACAGCAUUUUAAAACCAUUUAUUAGUUACAAUGCUCAAAUGUGCUGAUACAUAAAGUAAUCAAAAUAGGCUUUGCAUUUAAACUAAUUGAUUAAAAACAAAGGAAAUAUUUAUAGUUAGUGAAUUGAACUGAUUGUUUCUGGUCACAGUGUUCUUCAAGAUUUUAGAAUUAGUAAAUCUCAUUCGCACUAGUUUUUAUUCAGAGACAGGAAUAGGAGAACAAGGUUUCCUGCACUUUCAACUCCUCCUUCAAAGUUAAGGGGGCAAUAAACUAGUCAUUGAGCUGACCUAGUUGAAUUAACUAAAGAGAAAAUCUCUCUGCAGCUGCAGAAGCUACUGCCAUCAAACAUUGAUUUAGCACUUCAAACUCUGGUUCCAGGUAGUUAGCUACCAGUUCAGUGGUUUGGCCUUUUUAAAAAAGCUUAGCCACAAAAAUGUAUUGCUAAGUAUCUUUAAAUAUUUUAAUAGUUUAAACCUUAACAGAUUGUCAGUUUCAGAAUGUUAAAUAGAUUUAAAAAAAGAAACCUGUAUUUAAAUAUCCAAAUGUAUUUACAUCAGAUUGGUUUUUUUUUUUAAAUCAGUGUGUAUCCACCCUAGUAUGAAGUAAGAAUUUUCUGCUAACUAGUCAGUUUUAGAAGUAAUUACUUGCAGCAACAGCACUUAGUUGAUUACAUUUGUGUAAGUUAAUAUACUCAAGCAAAGGUUUCUGUGCUUUAAGGUUUCACUGAUGCAUAAGAGUAAGUGGUUUGUAAUUAAGAACUGCUAUGACAGUUGAGUACUGCUAACCUGAGUGUUUAGAUAUAUGCAUUUUUCAACCAAGGCACCACAUUUGUACAAUCACUGAAAUUAAGUGUCAUGGUCCUUCCUCCAUAGAAUCCUUGAGCUGUGAAGCAAAAGAUGAGCAUAUGCAGCCUUUGUCUCUUGAUAAAAGAAAUUUGUUUUUAAAGGCUUAUUUGAUUCAGCAGAGUAGCUUUGUGUUUAGACAGAAUACUGGGAGAGAAGAGGAGGAGACAGGAAUCCACAGAAUGAAUUUCAGCAAAAUAAUUUUAUUUCUUACUAACAUACAGUGAACACACCAAGUAUUCUAUACACAAUUGAGUUGAACAACUACUGUUGUGAUGUACAAAGAUACAUAUUAAGACACAUGAAGCUGCUCUUUUACAAAAUGAUUGCUUUUAGUUCUCCACAUGACUUUGGUACCUCCUGAAUAUGCCACAUCAUUGGUAGAUAUGCAAUUCCUGUUGUAAUAAGUUAUCUAUAAGACAAGACUAUUUUUUCCUCUGGAACCGUAAGCUAGUAUUUCUCAUUCCCUCCCCUCCCCCACUUAGGGCUUCCUGAUAGGAGAAAUGUAGGCAUUUCAACAUCCACCUUUAGGUCUUAGUUUUUCUGGUAAUAGAACCAUUUGUCCACUGUAGUCAGAAAAGAAAAAGGGGAAAAAAAAAAGG